AUAGAACGCUGGCGGCAGGCUUAACACAUGCAAGUCGAGCGGGGUGAUGGUGCUUGCACUAUCACUUAGCGGCGGACGGGUGAGUAAUGCUUAGGAAUCUGCCUAUUAGUGGGGGACAACAUCUCGAAAGGGAUGCUAAUACCGCAUACGUCCUACGGGAGAAAGCAGGGGAUCACUUGUGACCUUGCGCUAAUAGAUGAGCCUAAGUCGGAUUAGGUAGUUGGUGGGUUAAAGGCCUACCAAGGCGACGAUCUGUAGCGGGUCUGAGAGGAUGAUCCGCCACACUGGGACUGAGACACGGCCCAGACUCCUACGGGAGGCAGCAGUGGGGAAUAUUGGACAAUGGGGGGAACCCUGAUCCAGCCAUGCCGCGUGUGUGAAGAAGGCCUUAUGGUUGUAAAGCACUUUAAGCGAGGAGGAGGCUCUUUUGGUUAAUACCCAAGAUGAGUGGACGUUACUCGCAGAAUAAGCACCGGCUAACUCCGUGCCAGCAGCCGCAGUAA
rnacentral:rRNA from 1 species